rnacentral:rRNA from 1 species
CCUACGGGAGGCAGCAGUAGGGAAUCUUCCACAAUGGGCGCAAGCCUGAUGGAGUAACGCCGCGUGGGUGAAGAAGGUCUUCGGAUCGUAAAACCCUGUUGUUAGAGAAGAAGGUUCGUGAGAGUAACUAUUCACGUUUCGACGGUAUCUACCCAAGAAGCACCGGCUAACUACGUGCCAGCAGCCGCGGUAAUACGUAGGUGGCAAGCGUUAUCCGGAUUUAUUGGGCGUAAAGGGCACGCAGGCGGUCUUUUAAGUCUGAUGUGAAAGCCUUCGGCUUAACCGGAGGAGUGCAUUGGAAACUGGGAGACUUGAGUGCAGAAGAGGAGAGUGGAACUCCACGUGUAGCGGUGAAAUGCGUAGAUAUAUGGAAGAACACCAGUGGCGAAAGCGGCUCUCUGGGCUGUAACUGACGCUGAGGUGCGAAAGCGUGGGUAGCAAACAGGAUUAGAUACCCUGGUAGUC